rnacentral:rRNA from 1 species
UGCAAGUCGAGCGCACCUUCGGGUGAGCGGCGGACGGGUUAGUAACGCGUGGGAACAUACCCUUUGGUACGGAAUAGCCUCUGGAAACGGAGAGUAAUACCGUAUGAGCCCUUCGGGGGAAAGAUUUAUCGCCAAAGGAUUGGCCCGCGUUAGAUUAGGUAGUUGGUGGGGUAAUGGCCUACCAAGCCUACGAUCUAUAGCUGGUUUUAGAGGAUGAUCAGCAACACUGGGACUGAGACACGGCCCAGACUCCUACGGGAGGCAGCAGUGGGGAAUCUUGGACAAUGGGGGCAACCCUGAUCCAGCCAUGCCGCGUGAGUGAUGAAGGCCUUAGGGUCGUAAAGCUCUUUCGCCUGUGAAGAUAAUGACGGUAGCAGGUAAAGAAACCCCGGCUAACUCCGUGCCAGCAGCCCGCGGUAAUACGGAGGGGGUUAGCGUUGUUCGGAAUUACUGGGCGUAAAGCGCACGUAGGCGGACUGGAAAGUUGGGGGUGAAAUCCCAGGGCUCAACCCUGGAACUGCCUCCAAAACUAUCAGUCUAGAGUUCGAGAGAGGUGAGUGGAAUUCCGAGUGUAGAGGUGAAAUUCGUAGAUAUUCGGAGGAACACCAGUGGCGAAGCGGCUCACUGCUCGAUACUGACGCUGAAGUGCGAAAGUGUGGGGAGCAAACAGGAUUAGAUACCCUGGUAGUCACACCGUAAACGAUGAAUGCCAGUCGUCGGGUAGCAUGCUU